UAACCUCACCUCUUCUCCUUAACCCCGAUUCUUUUCUCCUCUUUUUCUCUCUCGCGCAGGCGACUCGACACCGACGGAGGGCAAGUUUUUCCCAGCGAUCUCAUUCUUUCCGUAUCGCCUGAGGUACGUCGUCGGAUCUCGACGGUGCCGGCCAUCUCCGACUGAGAGGUCGUCUUCUCGGUGGUUUCUUACUCGCGGUCGGCAAUAACUUGGCGCCUAGGGCACACGGUGGAUUCUUCUGGUGUCAUUCCCAGCCGAUCGAGUUCUUUUCGAUUCUCCUCUUCGAUCUGCCCAUUGGAGGGUGAACCGAAUCAUUAUCAGCUGAAGCGGAUCAGGCGACACCAUCUGGAGGAGACAAAUCGAGAGGGAAGCAUUGGUUUAGCCUAGUGAUGGAUUUCCCCUAAGCAGAUCAUUGCCUUCUCCAUUUCUUGCGGCAAUUAGGGUCUCGGGUGAAGAAGUGGAGGUCUGUUGGAGGGAUUCUUGGUAGCUGUAGGUAGGGGUCUUGUUGGCCGGGAGAUUUGGAAUUUGCUGUCAAAACCUCAAGGACUUGGAUUCGAGGCGAGCGUCUCGAUGUAGGGUUUCUGGACACGAUUUACGUAAAAAGUAGGUAGAUGAUACAAGAGCGCUUGGAGGAUCUUGACUGCCAACCUCUCGUCACAUUCGAGUACAAACUUUUGGGUUUUAUUGAGAUUUUGGUUUCUCUUUGAUUUCAUGAACUUGAUUCUGUAAUAAUUUUGAUGUGGACUUGAAACUUAGUCUUGUGGUUUCGCGCAUUUUGGUUUGUUGGUAUUGUGUCAAGCUGGGUCAGCUCGCAUGUGGAUAUUUUGUGGUCUUGUGAUUUCUGUUGUUCUUUUGUUUCAGCCGACUAGGCUGUUAUUAAACGUGUGGUUAUGAUUUCAUCCAGUCGUGUAGGCUGCUAUUAAACUGCAUGGUUGUAUUUUCAUCUAGUCGUGUGGGAUGUUGUA